AGAAGUGAUGACUAAUCUGUAAGAUGGCUGCCAACAUAUAAAGAUAAUAACGAAGAAGGUGUCCCGUUGAAUUCAAAUCAGAAAGAAUAAUUGUACUUGACAGUAAAGAUAGUGAUGCUGACAGUAUAAAGAUGUAUACAGACAGUAUAAAUGGAAAUUAUAUGGAAUUUGACAGCGAAGAAGGAACGAACGAAUUAUCUCUGUUAGAGUUGAAAAGUCCGAAAAAAACUAAGUUGUCAACAAAGCGAACACGACAUUCCCUUGAGCGCACGCUCGAAAGCGCACAAGCUGGUGUGCAGUGACGUGCGAAAUAUCGCGGACAAAUGGACUUUGACUUUCCAUCCCGUGCUUUCUUCGUUCUUCCUCGAUCUUGAUGUUCGAAACCUGGCAUUCCAAGGUCGUUAAAGGGAAAAAUAUAGGCAACGAACGAAGACUCUCCGAGACUCCACCUGGCCAGAGUUAGAAGUAUUUCUGAACUGCGAAGAAAGAAAAACGGACUUGCAACUAUUCGUUGCUCGGACGUAUAUUCUGCGAACGUAGGUUGGUUAGGAAGAGGUUUUAGACGUUCCUGUGGGAUCGUGUAACAAGACCGGUUCUAUAAAACGAUCGAUGUAAUCGGCCUCGUGGGAUGGGGAGGCCGAGCUAAGGCGGCUAAGGGCACGGUGCACCCUACGAAAGAGCGAGCUAAGCCAAAAGAUUCGCCGCGAUGGAGAAUAGGCACCGUAGCUUUUCAUGACUGCACCCACCACUCCCCGGAUGCCACUUUCGUUGAAAUAUCGCCGUGACUAGACGCAAAUUCGUCUACCAUAAAUAACAAUCUUGAAAUUUCUACGACGUCAUAGAUCGUUGUGCCGGCUCUCUCUCUCUCCAUCUGUUCUUCCCUGCCUUUUUUUUUCGAUGACGAUCUUUUGUUAAUAACCUUCCUAAAAAAGAAAAUAUGUUCGAUAUAACGAAAUGUGAUUAAACGUUAUUGUUGAUGACAUAUUCGAUCGAUAAGAAGCUUACCCAACCUUAAUCUGCACGAUACACGAUAUGGGAUAAUUGCAUAACUGUGUUCCAUUAACGUUUCCUGUUAUUUGGUGAUGACAAUAUUAGCACUAUAUAAGCACAGACGAGGUAUGCACUGCAGCACUACUAGUGAUGAAAAUUAAAAUUAAAAAAUAUGAACAGUAUUGUCACAUCUUCGAGAAUUAUUUAUGGAAUUGAACGUGGUGAUACUUCAUCAAUGAAGGAAUAUAACAAUUUAAAACAGCGACUGAUGGAAAUUGGGAUGAAAAAUUGUAUAUUUGAUUAUUUAAAGGUAUUAGAAAAAAUUAAUUGAAAUAUAUUUAACAACAUAAUUAAAACGGGGAAAACAAAUUGUAUAGGUAGUUUUAAGAGUUCAAUGUAAAGGGAAGAUUUCAAUUUUCAAGAUCAUGAUUGAUCUGAUCAUAAAAAAAUUGUUCAGUGAUGGAAAAACUUCUCUUUGGCGAGAUGUUCGAAUUUUUGUAAUUUUCGAGUAGAAAAGUAUUUUUAUUUUUACACUUGUUGUAUG